CUGGGCUUUUGUGGUAUCCUGUCAUCCUCAGCAUUUUGUAUUCUUAAGUUUGUAUGUAUGCAUAAAGGAACAACUAAUUUCUUCAGCAUUUUGAGUACUUUGUUAUAUUGCCACAGUAAUGACUUUUGUUUUGAAACACACUGCUACCCUGUGGAUCUGAAGAAGAAUACAUUGGGGGUAUGUGAUUAAAGGUCUUUUAUCAGUGCUUAAAGACAUAGCAGGAAUAAUGAGAUUAAAACCAAAUCACUGCAAAUCUUGUAUAUCUGAGAAAAUAGUAUCAAAUAUUCAAAGAACCAUUAAUGUGUGUUCUUUAAUAUUUAGCAAAUUUUAUUUCCUUUUUCCUCUCAUCGUGGAGUUUAUUUGGAGAGAAAAGGAUCUCAUACAAUCUCUUAAAAAUUCAUAAUUCAGACUUUAUUUUGUGUUAUAUUUAAAUAUGAAAGAUUGUAUCAACCAUGUCAUUUCUUUUUCUGGUCUUUCUAGGAGAUUAUUUGAAUUUCAUACUCCAGGUUUGAGGGAACUAGAAGGCUACUAUCUCUGGAUAAGAUGUAUUUUAUAUUAAAUGCUUAAGUUAUUUGUUCUUUAUGUUAAAUUUAGAAUACUUUUAAGCAUUUGACAUUUUUUCCCCUCCAAAUAUUAAGCCAGUUAGUUGAUUUCAACUCUUUUGACCUUUUCAAAAUCCCAUCUACCAUUUUUGUUUCCCUGAGAAAGCUCUCCAGACUCCUUAUUUGGACACCUGAAUCACCAGUUUGUGAGGCAGUAUGUUGGAGAAUUAUAAAUAAUUUGGCAUAAUGAGAGCGCAGAAUGCAGAAGUACAAGAAGUGAGAGAAGAUAGAAAGAUGGACCAAUAGAAAGAUUUGUCUUUAUUCAAAAAGACAGUGGGGAGCCAAUUGCAGGAACAAUUAUAUCAGAUUUGUAGCUAGGUAAGAGUACCUUAGCAGAAGUUGGGAGAAUAGGAUGGAGAAACCAGAAGAAAAUCUAUUGUAAUGAUCCAAGAGAAACAAGAAAUAAUGAGAGCUUAAACUAAACAGAUGGUGGGAGUAAGAAAUAGUUCAGAGGGAGAGAGGAUGGGACUUAGUGCUUGAUUAGAUGUGGAAGGUAAAAGGAAAGAAAUUGAGAUGAAUCUGAAGUUCUGAGAUGCCUGUUUAGAUGUGAUACCAUGCAUGGAGGCAGGAAUGAUUGAGAAGGAAAGGAGGUGGCUGGAAACUAGGUCAGUGAUAGUGAAAAGAAAGGGAGUGAUGAGUUUAGUUUCACACACGUUAAAUUUAGAAGGCAAACAUUUAGUCAUUUUAUGGAUUUGGAGUUUAGGAGAAAGAUCUUGACUGGAGUAUUUAGUGUGUAGCAAGCUGAAGGUGCAAGUGUGGGUGUUCACACUGUGAAGGUGUGAACAGUUUUGAGAAGUGAAGCACAAAGAGUGCUGGGAGGAUAUCCACAUUGAGGACUAGGAUGAGGAGGGUAAGAGUCUACAAAAGUAGACUGAAAAUGAACUGUAGAAGAGGACAAGAGAAUAGUUUGAUUAGAACUAAGGGAGAAAAGAAUUUUAGCAGAGCGAGGAGUAGUCAGUAAUGUCAGUUGUUUCAGAAAGAAUUGAGAAAGAUGUAAAUACUGAAAAUUGUCCAUUGAAUAUGGAAAUUAGGAGGUUAUAGUGGUUUUAUGAGGUAUUUGUGGAGCAUUACGGGCAGAAAUCAAAUUGCAGUGGAUUGAAGAAUGAGAAGUGAGAAGCAGAGACGCGAACUUCUCUUUUAAAAAACUCAGCAGUAAUAAGCUAUGGUACACGCAUACUUGGAAAACUGCUGAGCGGUAACAGAAAGGGACUGUUGAUAAACGUGACGACCUGGAUACAUCUCCAGGCAAUUAUGUCAAGUGAAAGAGUCAAUCCCUGUUCAAUCCCUAACACACUGCAUGUUCCCAUGUGUAUGGCACUCUCGACAAAAUUAUAGAAAUGGAGGAUAGAGUGGUUGUCAGAAUUUAAUGAAGGGAAGUGGGGUGGGAGGGAGGUGGGUAGAAGGAAGUAGGUAGGAAAAGGACAACAGGAGGGAUCCUUGUGGUAUGGAACUGUUCAGUGUCUUGACUGUAUAUAUGUGUGAACUAACUGGUAAUAAAAUUGUAUAGAACUUAACACACACACACAAGUACAAGUAAAUCUUGGAAAUCUGAAUGAGAGAGGUGGAUGGUUAUCAAUGUCAGUAUCCUGGUUGUGCUAUUUGAACUGUAGUUUUAUAAAAUGUUACCACUGGAGGAAAUUGGGUAAAGCGUACAAGGGACUUUGUUCUUACAACUGCAUGUAAAUCUAUAAUAAUCUCAAUAAAUAUUUCAGAGUUUAGC
rnacentral:lncRNA from 1 species